rfam:Pteropus alecto contig32880, whole genome shotgun sequence.
GUCUACAGCCAUGCCACCCUGAACAUGCCCAAUCUCGUCUGAUCUCGGAAGCUAAGCAGGGUCGGGCCUGGUUAGUACUUGGAUGGGAGACCACCUAGGAAGACCAGGUGCUGAAGCGU